GCCUUCGUAGCUCAGUGGAUAGAGCAAGAGCCUUCUAAUCUCUUGGUCGUAGGUUCGAUUCCUACCGAGGGCG
rnacentral:tRNA from 1 species